GGUGCGGCUGGAGCCUCUCUUGGUCUAGGAGAUCAGUGGGUCUUGGCAGGGCCACGCUCACCUUUGGCUUGCGGUACUGGGAGAGUUGCGGUCCUGUGCUAUUUUGAUGCAGCGAGAUGUUGUCGUAGGGACCUCUAAGUAGAUGAGAUGGCCUUCCAAGACAAAGCUGGAAGUCUUAGGUGCUACCUCUCUGUACGGUUGUUUUGAUCAAAUGAGAUGGCAUAAGAAAGGCGCUUAGCUCAGUUUUUGGCAGGGUGUUUACACCUGCAAGUGCCUGAUAUUUACAAUAAGAGAAACCCAACUAACCAUCUGAAGAUCACCUUGUCUCAUUGCACCCAUGUGAUUGAGAGGCUGAGUCCCCAUCAAGAGCAAGAAUGGUAACAGGUAUACAGAUAUGGGGGCCAGCGAUCAGUGUGUCCUAGUGCACAAAGUGCUGUGCUGCCCUGUAGGGACAAGAUGUACCAACACAGACCACUCCAGGAAGAGGGCACGCUUCACCCAUUAGGCAUGAUUUUUUGUUAACGAAAUAACAUACAAAACACAAAGCUGAUCAGAGGCAGAGUUUGGAUUAUUCCUUUAAGAUUUAGUUUUAAAUGUGUGUUACUACAGUAACGCAGGGCCCAAAAGCUGGGGAGGUUUUGACCUAACCUGAAGUUCAAACCUAAUGUUCCCGGCCCAGAGAGAGACACGGUUGAAUGGAACUGUGGGCGCCCACUAACCGAGCAAAAAUAUAGCUGGAGAGAAUAAGGACAGACCUGAAAGGUGCUAGACACGGAAAUGUAAUGCAUUAAAACAAGAGAAAAGUUAAAUCCCUUUUUAAGUGGAAUUAAGAUUGGCACUGUUAAUGGCUUACUAUUUAGGAUUGAUGACUUCAGUGCAAUGAAUGUCACAGGUGCGGUGUCUAAUGUGGCCAGCAGAAACGACUGUUUCGAUCUUGAAUGAAGAAUAAGGCAUAGAUUUGCCGCCUUUAAAAUUAUUGGUACUCGUUGAAAUGCCAAUUUCUUGUUUUUAAUGGCUUCCUGGGCAUAUGUUGUUAUUUUGCCAGCUAAUAGUUAAAAGGUUCCGUGGUGAUGUAAUGUUUUUCUCAGUUGUAUAAAGAACACACACUGAAUUGCUUGGAUACCUACAAAAACUAGUGAGAAGUAACACCUCCCCGGGCCUGUGAUACGCCAGACACUAUUCUAUUCAUUUUUUAAAAAUGAGCGAGCAUGACAUUGCAGGUCAUUCACAGGUAUUAUUUUUCUAUAUCCAUUGUACUGGUUUCUAUUGAAACAUUCAUACAAGCUCUAUGGCUACCUGUACAGAAAUUUACUCAAGUUCAUUGGACUUUGUAACAUGCUUUGUUCCACUUUUACAGUUAUAUUUUUUCUCUGCCUUUAUUCGAUAGAAAUUAGUUUAAUAUUAGUUUGGUUGGCUUCUUACGUAUGUGGUCAUUGAAACACCAUUUUCACAUGGCUGUUACAGUUGCCAUGUCAAAGGGCGGAGCGUUAUAGCCCCAUACAUUUGCAUACUGGAGCAUUUUGUGCCCUGCUUUUUAUCCUAUCAGCCUGCGCUGAUUCUAAUACAAUUCUGUAGGGUUGUGGAAUGUUACUUUUUUCAGUGUUAAUUAGUUUCCCACAUCCAGAAUUUGUAAUUUACUGUUGAUAUUAGUACAAAAUGUACUGUAUUUGCAUGAACCAAAAAAAAAAUGUUUUUCCUCUUCAAACUACUUCAGAACUUUCAAAAAAGGUAAAUGGGAUAUACUAACCUAUUAAGGGACAAUGACUCUCAGAUUGAGACACAAAGGAAAACAUAAAUUUGCUGUAUUUACAAAGAGGUAUUUGAGUGAAAAAUUCCAAAAGCUCGAAAAAAGAUGAAGAUGCGCUAAAUAAACCUAUCUCUAAAAAAUGCCAAAAAAAUAAAAAAUGUUGAUUACAAUAAAAAAAUUGCAGUGCUACCAAGAAAGAAAAUGCCUUAAAGGUAACAAAAAGAAGGGAAGAAAUGAACUCGAAGGGGCGAGAGGACACUGAUUUAAGCACUUACCUUAAGAGAGUCUCUGUGGAUCACGGAUGAAUUUAAGCUUCCACUUAUGAAAGCUGCAGGGGGCCAGGAGAGAGGAAACAGCUAGACGGUGCCCCCAGGGAAGACGAUGCAGCCAGAGUGCCUUACAGCUCCAGGGAAAAGGGAACAAUAGCAACAAUCAAACAAAAACGAAUUCAAAGCAAACAUAACAGUAAAACAAACUCAGAAGAGGAGCACGUUGAAGGAAACGUGUCUGUUACAAACUCGAUGCUGGGUAGAGGGAAAAGAAGACUUGAGUAUUGGGUUGAAUAAAAUAUUUCCCAUGUCAUUUUGACAUUGGAAACUAAAUUCAAAGAUAACAAGU